rnacentral:rRNA from 1 species
UCGCGAAUAGCUCAUUACAACAGCUAUAAUUUACUUGAUCUUGACAAUCCUACUUGGAUAACUGUGGUAAUUCUAGAGCUAAUACAUGCACCUAAGCUCUGACCUUACGGGAAGAGUGCAUUUAUUAGAACAAAACCAAGCGGCUUCGGUCGUUUUUUGUUGACUCAGAAUAACUAAGCUGAUCGCAUGGUCUUGUACCGGCGACGUGUCUUUCAAGUAUCUGCCUUAUCAACUUUCGAUGGUAGUGUAUCUGACUACCAUGGUGAUGACGGGUAACGGAGGAUAAGGGUUCGACUCCGGAGAAGGGGCCUGAGAAAUGGCCACUACGUCUAAGGAUGGCAGCAGGCGCGCAAAUUACCCACUCUCAGAACGAGGAGGUAGUGACGAGAAAUAACGAGACCGUUCUCUUAAGAGGCCGGUCAUCGGAAUGGGUACAAUUUAAACCCUUUAACGAGUAUCUAUGAGAGGGCAAGUCUGGUGCCAGCAGCCGCGGUAAUUCCAGCU